GAAAUGCGAUACGUAGUGUGAAUUGCAGAAUUCAGUGAAUCAUCGAAUCUUUGAACGCACAUUGCGCCCUUUGGUAUUCCAAAGGGCAUGCCUGUUCGAGCGUCAUUUGUACCCUCAAGCUUUGCUUGGUGUUGGGCGUCCUUUUGUCUCUCCCCUUGUUGGGGGAGACUCGCCUUAAAACGAUUGGCAGCCGACCUACUGGUUUUCGGAGCGCAGCACAAAUUUGCGCCUUCCAAUCCACGGGGCGGCAUCCAGCAAGCCUUUGUUUUCUAUAACAAAUCCACAUUUUGACCUCGGAUCAGGUAGGGAUACCCGCUGAACUUAAGC
rnacentral:misc_RNA from 1 species